UACGUAGGGGGCAAGCGUUGUCCGGAUUUAUUGGGCGUAAAGAGCGUGUAGGCGGCCAGACAAGUCUGCUGUGAAAACUCGAGGCUCAACCUCGAGCUGUCGGUGGAAACUGUCUGGCUAGAGUCCGGAAGAGGAGACUGGAAUUCCUGGUGUAGCGGUGAAAUGCGCAGAUAUCAGGAGGAACACCGGUGGCGAAAGCGGACACUCUGGAUCUCUUCUGACGCUGAGGCACGAAAGCUAGGGUAGCAAACGGG
rnacentral:rRNA from 1 species